UGCCCAGCAACUCCUAUCCCUACCUCCUCGCGGUACUGGCCGGGGUACGAGUAACCUUGGGGAAGAUCGGGUAACCAACCCCCGGUGGGAACUUUGGUCGUAUGCUGACAGGGAAGG
rfam:Aedes aegypti strain Liverpool supercont1.825 genomic scaffold, whole genome shotgun sequence.